CGUACACUCCUACGGGAGGCAGCAGUGGGGAAUAUUGGACAAUGGGCGCAAGCCUGAUCCAGCCAUGCCGCGUGAGUGAUGAAGGCCCUAGGGUUGUAAAGCUCUUUCACCGGUGAAGAUAAUGACGGUAACCGGAGACGAAGCCCCGGCUAACUUCGUGCCAGCAGCCGCGGUAAUACGAAGGGGGCUAGCGUUGUUCGGAUUUACUGGGCGUAAAGCGCACGUAGGCGGACUAUUAAGUCAGGGGUGAAAUCCCGGGGCUCAACCCCGGAACUGCCUUUGAUACUGGUAGUCUUGAGUUCGAGAGAGGUGAGUGGAAUUCCGAGUGUAGAGGUGAAAUUCGUAGAUAUUCGGAGGAACACCAGUGGCGAAGGCGGCUCACUGGCUCGAUACUGACGCUGAGGUGCGAAAGCGUGGGGAGCAAACAGGAUUAGAAACCCUAGUAGUCCCAUGA
rnacentral:rRNA from 1 species